rnacentral:tRNA from 1 species
GGAGAGAUGGCCGAGUGGUUAAUGGCAGCAGACUGUAAAUCUGCCGCGCGUCGCGCUUCGUAGGUUCGAAUCCUGCUCUCUCCACCA